rnacentral:sRNA from 1 species
UAUACCGUUUAUCUGUAUGACUCAGUUGGCCAGUUGUCAAAAUCAGAAGACCAAACACGGAUUCGAAUUAGGCACACGUUUGGAAAUCUGGACAACAUACCUUAAACCUCUACCUCCAGCUCUCGACUUGCAUGAAUUACGCAGAGCUCUAAGCUAAUCUUCUCGACGAUGCUUCCUGCGCUGCAGUGACGCUGGCCUGACAAUGGGGAGCAACGGAAGGAAAGCUAUUCAGAAGGAUUCUUUAAUACGAGUCUGUAUAUUUUUCAGCACAGAGUCCUAUCAAUGGCCAGCUACAACAAUGGUAACAACGAUGAUUGCCCAGUGUGUGGUCAGGCGCCAAGACGAAUCCGUUCCAGCACACCCACUUUGAGAUUUCAGAGAAAAACAUGCGACCCACCGGGUAAUAUUGUAUUACCGCUUGUCUGGUCCUCGGUCAGGUCAUCUCAAGUCACGAUAAUUGCACAUGUAUUUCAAAACGAGCAAGUCGAACAGCUAGACAAUCUGAUACCCAUUACUCUGAAAAUAAAUUGAUCUCUGCUUGGAAAUACCGACA